UUAGUUUUUGAAGUAUGGCCUGCCCGCUGACUUUUAGUUGAAGGGCCGCGGUAUUUUGACCGUGCAAAGGUAGCAUAAUCAUUAGUUCUUUAAUUGUGAUCUGGAAUGAAUGGCUUGACGAGAUGCGAGCUGUCUUAAAUUGAAUGUUUUAUUGAAUUUGGUUUUUGAGUUAAAAUUCUUAGAUGUUUUUAUGGGACGAGAAGACCCUAUAGAGUUUGACAUGUUGGCUUGCUUAUUUAUUUGUCGUUUGUUUUGUUUUUGAUAAGUGGGCUUUAUGUUUUGUUGGGGUGAUGAGAGGAAUAUAGUUUAACUCCUCUUGGUUUAGUGGUUAUAUUGAUAUAUAUUUAUUUGAUCCAUUUAUUUUGAUUGUAAGAUUAAAUUACC
rnacentral:rRNA from 1 species